rnacentral:rRNA from 1 species
UACGGGGGGGCAAGCGUUGUUCGGAAUUACUGGGCGUAAAGGGCGCGUAGGCGGAAUGGCAAGUCGGUCGUGAAAUCCUUCGGCUCAACCGAAGAACGUCGAUCGAAACUGCCGUUCUUGAGGAUUGCAGAGGAGACUGGAAUUCCCGGUGUAGCGGUGAAAUGUGUAGAGUAUCGAGAGGAACACCUGCGGCGAAGGCGGGUUGCUGGGCUGACACUGACGCUGAAGCGCGAAAGCUAGGGGAGCGAACGGG